CCUACGGGUGGCAGCAGUGGGGAAUAUUGGGCAAUGGGCGAAAGCCUGACCCAGCAACGCCGCGUGAAGGAAGAAGGCUUUCGGGUUGUAAACUUCUUUUGACAGGGAAGAGCAGAAGACGGUACCUGUCGAAUAAGCCACGGCUAACGACGUGCCAGCAGCCGCGGUAAUACGUAGGUGGCAAGCGUUGUCCGGAUUUACUGGGUGUAAAGGGCGUGUAGCCGGGCUGACCAGUCAGAUGUGAAAUCCGGGGGCUCAACCCCCGAACGGCAUUUGAAACUGUUGGUCUUGAGUAUCGGAGAGGCAGGCGGAAUUCCUAGUGUAGCGGUGAAAUGCGUAGAUAUUAGGCGGAACACCAGUGGCGAAGGCGACUUUCUGGACGAUAACUGACGUUGAGGCACGAAAGUGUGGGGAGCAAACAGGAUUAGAUACCCGUGUAGUC
rnacentral:rRNA from 1 species